UUUUUAAGGAGCCACACGUGCCCCCACCUAACACCCUUCCCCACCACUCAUUUUCACUCAUCUCCUUAUCCCUUUGACCGGCUCCUCACUUCUCUUUUCUUUUCUCUUCAUUUUCCUAACAAACGCUCCUCUUCCACACUCCCUUAUUCUCCUGCCAGUACCACUCCUCACCACUUCCACCACCAUUUUUCAGGCAAGACCACUGGAAAAUUCCAUAGGAAAAGAGUUCUAGCUAAUUUCAUUGGAGCUUGGAAAAUUAGGGUUUUACGGAUUGCGAGAGUAGGCAACUAUCGUUUUGAGACAGCUUUUUGGUGGCUAGUAAUAGUUAGACUAAUUGCUGAUGAAGGCUAGCUUUUGUGAUGGAGAUAUUAGAUGAUGUACAUCAUAGUGUAGACUUGACUCAUUCUUUUGUAUGUUAUAGUGGUUAUGACUUUAUUUCCACUAUUGGGACAAGUUAUUAAUAUGUAAUUGUAUUUAUUCAAGCCUCCAUUCUUUUGUGGCCA